GCCGCGGUAAUACGUAGGUGGCAAGCGUUAUCCGGAAUUACUGGGCGUAAAGCGCACGCAGGCGGUCUCUUAAGUUUGACGUGAAAGCUCCCGGCUUAACUGGGAGAGGUCGUUGAAGACUGGGAGACUUGAGGCAAUGAGAGGGGUGUAGAAUUCCUGGUGUAGUGGUGGAAUGCGUAGAUAUCAGGAGGAAUACCAGUGGCGAAAGCGGCACCCUAGCGUUGUUCUGACGCUCAUGUGCGAAAGCGUGGGGAGCGAACGG
rnacentral:rRNA from 1 species